rnacentral:rRNA from 1 species
ACGGAAGGCAGCAGUGAGGAAUAUUGGUCAAUGGGCGCAAGCCUGAACCAGCCAAGUCGCGUGAAGGAAGACUGCCCUAUGGGUUGUAAACUUCUUUUGCAUGGGAAUAAAGUGAGCCACGUGUGGCUUUUUGUAUGUACCAUGCGAAUAAGCAUUGGCUAACUCCGUGCCAGCAGCCGCGGUAAUACGGAGGAUGCGAGCGUUAUCCGGAUUUAUUGGGUUUAAAGGGUGCGUAGGCGGGAUGGUAAGUCAGUGGUGAAAGUUUGCGGCUCAACCGUAAAAUUGCCGUUGAAACUGCCGUCCUUGAGUGCGAGCGGGGUAGGCGGAAUGUGCCGUGUAGCGGUGAAAUGCAUAGAUAUGGUACAGAACUCCGAUUGCGAAGGCAGCCUACCAGUACGCUACUGACGCUGAGGCACGAAAGCAUGGGUAUCGAACAGGAUUAGAUACCCUGGUA